rnacentral:rRNA from 1 species
AUUUAUACUAUUUAGUUAAUACUAUAUUUCUAAGGAAAAUAAAUUUAUUUGGCGGUAUUUAUAUUUUGGAGGAACCUGUUUUUAUAAUUGAUAAUUCACAAUAAAUUUUACUUACUUUUAAAUUUUAUAUACCACCAUCUAGAGAAAUUUUUAAAAUUAACCUCUUAAUAAUUUAGCUAAAAUGUUAGGUAAAGGUGUAGACAAUAAAUAAGGUAAAAAUGUGUUACUUUGAAUUUAUUUAAAAAUUUCUAAAUUAAAUMUUAGAAUGAAUUAGGAUUCAUGAGUAAAAAUUUAAUAUUUAAAAAUUUUGAAAAUUAUUAUAAAUAUGU